rnacentral:rRNA from 1 species
GAUGAACGCUGGCGGCGUGCCUAAUACAUGCAAGUCGAGCGAACAGAUGAGGAGCUUGCUCCUCUGACGUUAGCGGCGGACGGGUGAGUCACACGUGGAUAACCUACCUAUAAGACUGGGAUAACUUCGGGAAACCGGAGCUAAUACCGGAUAAUAUAUUGAACCGCAUGGUUCAAUAGUGAAAGACGGUUUUGCUGUCACUUAUAGAUGGAUCCGCGCCGCAUUAGCUAGUUGGUAAGGUAACGGCUUACCAAGGCAACGAUGCGUAGCCGACCUGAGAGGGUGAUCGGCCACACUGGAACUGAGACACGGUCCAGACUCCUACGGGAGGCAGCAGUAGGGAAUAUUCCGCAAUGGGCGAAAGCCUGACGGAGCAACGCCGCGUGAGUGAUGAAGGUCUUCGGAUCGUAAAACUCUGUUAUUAGGGAAGAACAAAUGUGUAAGUAACUAUGCACGUCUUGACGGUACCUAAUCAGAAAGCCACGGCUAACUACGUG